GGUAAGGGUGGAAAGGUGAGGUAAGAGCUCACCAGCAGUCUGGUAACAGGCUGGCUCGGUAAACCCCAUCCGGAGCAAGACCGAAUAGGGAAGGGUUAAGGGUGGUCCCGCCUACCUUCCGGGUUGUGUCGCUCGAGCGUGCAGGCGACUGUACGCCUAGAAAGAUAAUCGUCACCGCGCAAGUGGAACAGAACUCGGCUUAUUGAUUGCUUGCUUCC
rnacentral:RNase_P_RNA from 1 species